GACAAACGCUGGCGGCGUGCUUAACACAUGCAAGUCGAACGGUAAGGCCCUUCGGGGUACACGAGUGGCGAACGGGUGAGUAACACGUGGGUGAUCUGCCCUGCACUUCGGGAUAAGCCUGGGAAACUGGGUCUAAUACCGGAUAGGACUCCUGGCUUCAUGGGUGGGGGUGGAAAGCUUUUGCGGUGUGGGAUGGGCCCGCGGCCUAUCAGAUUGUUGGUGGGGUAAUGGCCUACCAAGGCGACGACAGGUAGCCGGCCUGAGAGGCUGGCCAGUCACACUGGGACUGAGGUACGGCGCAGACGCCGACUGGAGGCAGGAGUGGGAAAUGUUGCCCAAUGAGCGCGAGCCUGAUGCAGCGGAGCCGCGUGAGUGAUGACGGCCUGCGGGUUGUAAACCUCUUUCAGCUAUGACGAAGCGCAAGUGACGGUAGUAGCAGAAGAAGGACCGGCCAACUACGUGCCAGCCGCCGCGGUAA
rnacentral:rRNA from 1 species